UACGGGGGGUGCUAGCGUUAUUCGGAAUCAUUGGGCGUAAAGGGCGCGUAGGCGGUCGCUUAAGUCAGAUGUGAAAGCCCUCGGCUUAACCGAGGAAGUGCAUUUGAUACUAAGUGACUUGAGUAUGGGAGAGGGAAGCGGAAUUCCUGGUGUAGCGGUGAGAUGCGUAGAUAUCAGGAGGAACACCGGUGGCGAAGGCGGCUUCCUGGACCAAUACUGACGCUGAGGCGCGAAGGCGUGGGGAGCAAACAGG
rnacentral:rRNA from 1 species